GAUGAACGCUGGCGGCGUGCCUAAUACAUGCAAGUCGAGCGAACAGACGAGGAGCUUGCUCCUCUGACGUUAGCGGCGGACGGGUGAGUAACACGUGGAUAACCUACCUAUAAGACUGGGAUAACUUCGGGAAACCGUAGCUAAUACCGGAUAAUAUUUUGAACCGCAUGGUUCAAUAGUGAAAGACGGUCUUGCUGUCACUUAUAGAUGGAUCCGCGCUGCAUUAGCUAGUUGGUAAGGUAACGGCUUACCAAGGCAACGAUGCAUAGCCGACCUGAGAGGGUGAUCGGCCACACUGGAACUGAGACACGGUCCAGACUCCUACGGGAGGCAGCAGUAGGGAAUCUUCCGCAAAGGGCGAAAGCCUGACGGAGCGACGCCGCGUGAGUGAUGAAGGUCUUCGGAUCGUAAAACUCUGUUAUUAGGGAAGAACAAAUGUGUAAGUAACUAUGCACAUCUUGACGGUACCUAAUCAGAAAGCCACGGCUAACUACGUG
rnacentral:rRNA from 1 species